GCUGCCCCAAGAGGCUGCAGGUGAGGUGUGGCUGCUGUGUCCCGUGUGUCAGCAGGUGGCCGAGGGGAGAGGCUGUGUUCUGACCUGCGGAUGUCUGAAUGCUUAGUAGCCUAGCAUU
rnacentral:snoRNA from 1 species